CAGAGGUCCCAAGCGUUGUUCGGAUUCACUGGGCGUAAAGGGUGCGUAGGUGGCGGGGUAAGUUUGAUGUGAAAUCUCCGGGCUUAACCCGGAAACUGCAUUGAAUACUAUUCUGCUCGAGGUUUGGAGGGGGGACUGGAAUUCUCGGUGUAGCAGUGAAAUGCGUAGAUAUCGAGAGGAACACCAGUGGCGAAGGCGAGUCCCUGGACAACACCUGACACUGAGGCACGAAAGCUAGGGGAGCAAACAGGAUUAGAUACCCUGGUAGUCCUAGCUGUAAACGGUGCAUAUUUGCUGUAAAAGGAAUCGACCCCUUUUGUGGCGAAGCUAACGCGAUAAAUAUGCCGCCUGGGAAGUACGGUCGCAAGAUUA
rnacentral:rRNA from 1 species